GUUUUGAUAGCUUAAACUAACCUAAAGCGUGACUCUGAAGAAGUUAACAUGAGAUUAAUCUCUCAAAACA
rnacentral:tRNA from 1 species